GUAGACCACCCUGAACGCGCCCGAUCUCGUCUGAUCUCGGAAGCUAAGCAGGGUCGGGCCUGGUUAGUACUUGGAUGGGGGACCAGAAUAUUCUGGUGACU
rnacentral:rRNA from 1 species